ACAUUCUUUGGAAGGAAAUGUUUUCACAGCAACUUAAAGACACAUUUGAGAGGGAACCGUAUAACCUGUUUAACUUUAUAAUGACCAGAUUUGUAUUAAUUCAUUAAAAUACUAUCUUAAUAGCGUAGUGUUUGUUAGGCUCUGUGUGUUUCCUGUUUUAUGUUGAAGUCCCUGUCUCGUUUCCUGUUUCCCUGCUCUUCCCUCCCUGUGCUUGUCUGUUUCUUUCCUGAUUGUUUCCAGACACGCCCUGACUGUUUCCACCUGUGUCUCGUUCCCCUGUGUAUUUAAUCUGUGUCCUUCUGUUUGUCUGGUGUCAGAUCGUCUUUUUUCGUUCCCGUGUGGUGUUGUCCGUGUUCCUGUACUGAGAAUAAACUCAGUUUUUCGUGAAACUCCUGCUGCGUUUGGGUCCUCCACACCACGCAUCCGUAACAGUGUUUUUAUAAAAAUGACUUGACAUGCUAUAUAAGCACUACAAAUUAAUACAAUUGAGAACAAAUAGAUAUUGUAUAUUUCCUGAAAGAAAAGAUGCAUUUCAAACAUUGUUUGUAUUUUGGUUUGUUUUAGAUAAAAUGAACAGAAAGAAUGGGCCUGUCUCCAGCUCCACCAUUAGACGGAGGGUCCGUCAAGAUGUUUUGACUACAUCACUGUGAUUGAUGGGAAACUGAAUACAACUUUGACUUAAGAUGUUCCACUUCAUAGAAUUGUUGACUAACAAAACGGUAGCAGUAAUGCCACAAAGCUAUACCAGCUUUGUGGCACUACUGCUACCAUUUUGGCCGAAUUAUCCGAGGGACGAAAGGGUGGACAAGGCUGUCAGAAGCGCCGAACAACCUGGACCAGACUGGCAGACACGUGACGUCAGAGUAAUUGGAUCAUGCGGUAUUAUAUUAAUAUUGUAUUAAUUGGCCGUUUUAAACGGAUAUAAAAAAUCACUUUGUUAUAUAUGUUGGGGGAAACAACAUUUUAAUCACAUUGUUCUGUUUAUAAUUCUGUACUUUUUCAUUGUGUUUAUGUGACUUAAUUUUUAGAUAAUUACUUGGUGGAAAUAUAUGUCUUGUGACACAUCAGAUCUCCAGUCAGAAGAGGAGGCAAUUCCUAAAAAGAGGAAGCCAGUGCCGGUCCAUUUCUAUGGAGACUCGGAUGGAGACAGUGAAAAUGAAAAUUCCCCCCACAAAACAGGGGUCCAACCACUAGCGGGACAGUUGUCCCUCCAAUCAUUGCCUCCUCCUAACUAUUCCAUGUACUCCAUCACCAGCAGGACAGCGAACACGCCAGGGGGACACGCCCACCUGGCGAGGGGCGUGGUGUGGUUCAGACACCAUUGCCUGCUGUGCUGUUCCAGUUCAAAUCCUAGGCAUGCUGGAGACAAUUACAGAGGUGAGAGACCCGGUUCCGUUUCCGUGUACCACAAUGGAGGAAGUGGACCUUUUUGAGCAACGGCUCAAAGAUCCCGUCAACAUUCUAAUGAGUGGUGAGUUUUUUUGUUUUAAGAAUCUCACGCAAAGCUGAUUAAAAUCUAUUGUAUGUAAUUAACACUAGACAAUACCAUGUUUGAUGGAAAUGUUUUUUCAAACAUUCUGUAAAGUAUCAAAUAUUAAUCGUACUUUUUCGAUCCAUUUUCGAUUUCCUCCCUGGCAACGAUCGGACGACAUGAUGCCAAACGUGGAACAUCCCCGAAUGAAUGGAAAAAAAUUAUUCAGUCAAAUGACAUCUAAGACUUUGCUCCUGCAUGCCGUCAGAAAGAAUCAUGCCACACAUGCAUCCACUGAUGAACAGAUUCUAAAGCAUGCCAUUAGGUGGUUCAACCUGGCAGCAA